CUUGACACUGAACAUUGAGCCUUGAUGUGUAGGAUAGGUGGGAGGCUUUGAAGCGUGGACGCCAGUCUGCGUGGAGCCGACCUUGAAAUACCACCCUUUAAUGUUUGAUGUUCUAACGUUGGCCCCUGACCGGGGUUGCGGACAGUGUCUGGUGGGUAGUUUGACUGGGGCGGUCUCCUCCCAAAGCGUAAGCGUGGACGCCAGUC
rnacentral:rRNA from 1 species